AGAGAGAGCCAAACAGAGCAGCAGAUAC
rnacentral:piRNA from 1 species